rnacentral:pre_miRNA from 1 species
CAAAUACUCCCUCCGUCCGGAAAUACUUGUCAUCAAAAUAGAUAAAAGGAAAUGUAUCUAGACGUAUUUUAGUUUUAGAUACAUCUCUUUUUAUCCAUUUUGAUGACAAGUAUUUUCGGACGGAGGGAGUAGAAA